GGGGGCGUAAUGGGUUCGACGGGGGCAGUUGAUGCCCAAGGAGCAUGCCGAGGUCUGUCUCCUCGUUAAACAGGCAGAGACACGAUAAGUGCCGACGAUUAUUCUUACGCACUGGCUGCCUAACGAGCAGUCACGUCCUGCAUAAACCCGCCUUCCGGUUUAUGUAUGGAUGUCAAAUGAAGGAAGGCAACCCUCACAGUCAGGCCUCUGGGCUGCAUGGGUACUCAAGAGAGGCUGGGCAAUGCAAAGCCUGUCUGCGGGCAGAGCAUAGCUGAGAUCUGAAUACACAGACUACGCAUGUAGGAGCCUUGUGCUGAAGGCCUUCGGACGGGGGUUCGAUUCCCCCCGCCUCCACCA
rnacentral:tmRNA from 1 species